CUAGGGAGUCUUACCUGGGCCUUCCCAGUGGGGACUAAGUCAAAAUAGGUUCCCACAAGACUGCUUGGCACAUGCACUGUGGAAGACUAGUGUCUUUUUAACAACAACUUGAGCUACCCUCUCUUGUUCCAAAAGGCUGUCUCGUCAGAACGGUGGCAGAUCGAUCACCUUAGAGAAAGAACGGUGUCAUCCUCUUUGUCAAAUAUAACAAGCAGGCAUUCAAUUUUUAAAAAUUCUCUAAGAAGUGAAGAAAAGGGGAAGGCGAUGCCCCGGGUGUCCCUUUUUACCUAUUUUCCCUUUCUCUUACAUUUCCCUUGAUACAAACUUUCUUAAGGAGAGCAGCCUUAAUCUUUUCAAGUUUACAAAAGGCAGCACAGAAACGUUCUAAAUCUAAUGAUACAGUUGCUUGGGAGAAAAUGAGUCUAACUCUCCCAUUUGCACAUUGCCUGGGUCUCCACACUGCUACAUGGUCUCAGCCACUCAUGUAACCAGUGUUUCUUGAGUGUGUGUCAUGUGCCAGGUGCUAGCUAUGUGCUGGGAAUCCAAGUCCCUACAGGAUACAGUCCUGCCUCCAGGGAGCUUGAAGUUCAGGAGGAAAAGGGGCAAACAAACAGAAAUAAUCCUAUGAGGAAACUGCUUUAAUGAGUCAACGUCCAAGGAAGGGAGGAGGAGGCACGCAUUCAUGCAACAAAUAUACAUCUGUCCUAAGUCCUCCUGCAGGAGACAGUCCCUGCCCUCAAGAAGCUUACAGUCUACUGCCAGAAAGAGCCAAUGCCUAAACACAAAUUCAUACUAAACAUAGACUGACCAUGGGCCCCACCGCCUAGACAAGGAGUUCCCUUCCUUCUGUCCCCCACUUUCCACCAUUAACACUGGACCACUGGACCCCCAUUCUCAGGCUCAUGCGAAUGAGGGAUUGAGAGCAGGGCGGACCCCGGUAUGGGGAAGCAUUCCAAUCCACCCUGAGAAUCUCCGUAAGGAGAGAUGAGCCAGCAGGUGCUCAAAGUGUCUGCUGGAUGAAUGCCAGCGGGUCUUAAUGUGGUAAAUGUCUGUCCACCCUUCUGGGCUCCCCACAAAGGAUU
rnacentral:lncRNA from 1 species